AUUGAACGCUGGCGGCAGGCUUAACACAUGCAAGUCGAGCGGAGAGAGGUAGCUUGCUACUGAUCUUAGCGGCGGACGGGUGAGUAAUGCUUAGGAAUCUGCCUAUUAGUGGGGGACAACAUUUCGAAAGGAAUGCUAAUACCGCAUACGUCCUACGGGAGAAAGCAGGGGAUCUUCGGACCUUGCGCUAAUAGAUGAGCCUAAGUCGGAUUAGCGAGUUGGUGGGGUAAAGGCCUACCAAGGCGACGAUCUGUAGCGGGUCUGAGAGGAUGAUCCGCCACACUGGGACUGAGACACGGCCCAGACUCCUACGGGAGGCAGCAGUGGGGAAUAUUGGACAAUGGGCGGAAGCCUGAUCCAGCCAUGCCGCGUGUGUGAAGAAGGCCUUAUGGUUGUAAAGCACUUUAAGCGAGGAGGAGGCUACUUUAGUUAAUACCUAGAGAUAGUGGACGUUACUCGCAGAAUAAGCACCGGCUAACUCUGUGCCAGCAGCCGCCGUAAUAC
rnacentral:rRNA from 1 species